rnacentral:rRNA from 1 species
GAUGAACGCUGGCGGCGUGCCUAAUACAUGCAAGUCGAGCGAACAGACGAGGAGCUUGCUCCUCUGACGUUAGCGGCGGACGGGUGAGUAACACGUGGAUAACCUACCUAUAAGACUGGGAUAACUUCGGGAAACCGGAGCUAAUACCGGAUAAUAUAUUGAACCGCAUGGUUCAAUAGUGAAAGACGGUUUUGCUGUCACUUAUAGAUGGAUCCGCGCCGCAUUAGCUAGUUGGUAAGGUAACGGCUUACCAAGGCAACGAUGCGUAGCCGACCUGAGAGGGUGAUCGGCCACACUGGAACUGAGACACGGUCCAGACUCCUACGGGAGGCAGCAGUAGGGAAUCUUCCGCAAUGGGCGAAAGCCUGACGGAGCAACGCCACGUGAGUGAUGAAGGUCUUCGGAUCGUAAAACUCUGUUAUUAGUGAAGAACAAAUGUGUAAGUAACUAUGCACGUCUUGACGGUACCUAAUCAGAAAGCCACGGCUAACUACGUG